rnacentral:rRNA from 1 species
UGCCAGCCGCCGCGGUAAUACGGAGGGUGCAAGCAUUAAUCGGAUUCAUUGGGCGUAAAGGGCGCGUAGGUGGGAAAGUCAGUCAGACGUGAAAGCCCGGAGCUUAACUCCGGAAUAGCAUCUGAAACUACUUUUCUUGAGGAUAGGCGGAGAAAACGGAAUUCCACGUGUAGCGGUGAAAUGCGUAGAUAUGUGGAAGAACACCCGUGGCGAAAGCGGUUUUCUAGCUUACUCCUGACACUGAGGCGCGAAAGCUGGGGGAGCGAACAGGAUUAGAUA